rnacentral:rRNA from 1 species
GAUGAACGCUGGCGGCGUGCUUAACACAUGCAAGUCGAACGAUGAAGCCCAGCUUGCUGGGUGGAUUAGUGGCGAACGGGUGAGUAACACGUGAGUAACCUGCCCUUAACUCUGGGAUAAGCCUGGGAAACUGGGUCUAAUACCGGAUAGGAGCGCCUACCGCAUGGUGGGUGUUGGAAAGAUUUAUCGGUUUUGGAUGGACUCGCGGCCUAUCAGCUUGUUGGUGAGGUAAUGGCUCACUAAGGCGACGACGGGUAGCCGGCCUGAGAGGGUGACCGGCCACACUGGGACUGAGACACGGCCCAGACUCCUACGGGAGGCAGCAGUGGGGAAUAGUGCACAAUGGGCGAAAGCCUGAUGCAGCGACGCCGCGUGAGGGAUGACGGCCUUCGGGUUGUAAACCUCUUUCAGUAGGGAAGAAGCGAAAGUGACGGUACCUGCAGAAGAAGCACCGGCUAACUACGUG